UACGGGGGGAGCAAGCGUUGUUCGGAUUUACUGGGCGUAAAGGGCGCGUAGGCGGUCGUGACAAGUCACUUGUGAAAUCUCCGGGCUUAACUCGGAACGGUCAAGUGAUACUGUCGGACUAGAGUACAGAAGGGGCAACUGGGAAUUCUCGGGUGUAGCGGUGAAAUGCGUAGAUAUCGAGAGGAACACCUGCGGCGAAGGCGGGUUGCUGGGCUGAUACUGACGCUGAGGCGCGAAAGCCAGGGGAGCGAACGGG
rnacentral:rRNA from 1 species